AUUGCAGAAUUCAGGUGAAUCAUCGAAUCUUUGAACGCACCUUGCGCCCUUUGGCUAUUCCGAAGGGCAUGCCUGUUUGAGUAUCAUG
rnacentral:rRNA from 1 species